CCCUAAAAGCAGUCUUAGUUCGGAUUGUAGGCUGCAACCCGCCUACAUGAAGUCGGAAUUGCUAGUAAUCGCGGAUCAGCAUGCCGCGGUGAAUACGUUCCCGGGCCUUGUACACACCGCCCGUCACGCCAUGGGAGUCGGUAACACCCGAAGCCUGUGUUCUAACCGCAGGAGAAGG
rnacentral:rRNA from 1 species